rnacentral:rRNA from 1 species
GAUGAACGCUGGCGGCGUGCCUAAUACAUGCAAGUCGAGCGAACAGACGAGGAGCUUGCUCCUCUGACGUUAGCGGCGGACGGGUGAGUAACACGUGGAUAACCUACCUAUAAGACUGGGAUAACUUCGGGAAACCGGAGCUAAUACCGGAUAAUAUAUUGAACCGCAUGGUUCAAUAGUGAAAGACGGUUUUGCUGUCACUUAUAGAUGGAUCCGCGCCGCAUUAGCUAGUUGGUAAGGUAACGGCUUACUAAGGCGACGAUGCGUAGCCGACCUGAGAGGGUGAUCGGCCACACUGGAACUGAGACACGGUUCAGACUCCUACGGGAGGCAGCAGUAGGGAAUCUUCCGCAAUGGGCGAAAGCCUGACGGAGCAACGCCGCGUGAGUGAUGAAGGUCUUCGGAUCGUAAAACUCUGUUAUUAGGGAAGAACAAAUGUGUAAGUAACUAUGCACGUCUUGACGGUACCUAAUCAGAAAGCCACGGCUAACUACGUG